GUCCCCAAGCUCUCACUGGGGAGCGAUGAGGCGCAGCUUCCCCGGGGACUCGGACCCCUAACUAGAUGCUGAGUUUCGAAGUACGGACGCCGGAGGAGAGGAUCUCCCUGCAUCUGUUGCUGCUGUGACGGCGGCUGCCUCGGCUCUCGGUCUGUGAGAACACCAGGUCCUAGGUUUUGGGGGUGGGAAGGAAAAAAGAAGGGUAUGAGUGAGGGAGUCUCCGGGUUCCUCCAGCCGACUGCCCCCCAACUCCAAUCAGUCAGUUUUGCCCCCCUCCCCCCAAAUCCCACCUUUUGGCUGGCUGCAGGCUGCAGUCAGAGCGCGCUCCCGAGACCUGCGGGGGCGCGCCUAGCCUCUCCCACCUCCUGCAUAUUCUGCGUGUGUUAAAGCUGUAGGGACCCUCACCAAAGCCAAUGCAAUAUUUAUCACAUCAGUAUGUUUUCGUGCUCACUGCCAUCUUACAGAGACCAGCCGCCAGCUCCCCCCGCCCCGUACACACACACAUUCUGCGAGUACAUUGGAUCUGCUCACUGAUUGAAUGCAAAAGGCUUUUAAUCGUUUCAGCACGUGAGGUGGCCUUGAAGGAUAUCUGUUCGGAGGCUGAGAAUAAAAGUCUUGAGAAAGAGUGAAGUCACUGCCUUAUCUCUGCGGCCCUGUUAGGGGAUGUGGGUUAGGAGGAGGGAGGUGUAGGAGCCUAGAUCAAAUUAGGUCUCUGUGCUCGGUACCUGUGACUAUGCCAUCCUUCACGCACAGACUUUGACGAAACAUUUCUACCAGGAGACUGGGAGGCGCUCAGCUAAUGAGUGUUAAUACUUCAUUCUCCAUUCGUCCGCCCGGGAGAGGCCACCUUCUAAACCUUCUCGCGUCUCUCCACCCCCAUCUCCCUGCUAGCGCACUUCCAUAGAAGACAAGUCACAGCUUUCACAAGGAGAGACGAGAACCAACGGGGACAACAGGCUGUAAGUGAGGGGACAUAGCCUCCUCACUUAUCUAUUGCCUCCGCGGGUCAGUGUCCGUGCCCACCUAAGGGAUACACAGCCCCCCACCCCCACCCCCAGCACAGUGAACACCCCUCCUUCCCCAGAUAAAGUC
rnacentral:lncRNA from 1 species